rnacentral:RNase_P_RNA from 1 species
CCGUCGGACUGUUCCAUCGCUUUGUGAAAACAGGGAGGAAAGUCGGGACAACACAGGGCACCAUACUUCCUAACAGGAAGGGUACACUGAAAAGUGCACACAGCAAGUGCCACAGAAAAUUACCGCCUCGUUUCGACGGGGUAAGGGUGAAAACGUGGGGUAAGAGCCCACGCGCGGUUCUGGUGACAGGAUCGUGGGGUAAACCUUAUGGGUUGCAAGGCCAAAUAUACCGGCAGAUCCGCUUCGGCGGGAUAAGGGCUGCCCGUUCGAUGCCGGUGGGUAGGCUGCUGGAGCCCUGUGGUGACACAGGGCCAAGAUAAAUGAUGGAAGUCCCGAAAUAUCGGGAGACAGAAUCCCGCUUACAGGUCCGACGGUUUU